CGGAGCACACAUAGUUUAAUGUAGCACAUAAGUGAUAAGUCUUGGGCUCUUGGCUAACAUAAGAAGCCAUAUAAGUCUACUACUACUAGCACACAUGACACAAUAUAAAGUUUAAAACACAUAUUCAUAAUCACUUGCUCACAUCUGGAUCACUUAGCAUGCAUAGACUAUUACAACCAAGGCUCAUCUGUCAACAAACAUAAGACACAUUGCUCAUGGAGAGGAGCCACUUGCUACAUCUUCAUUAUUCUUAGAAAAUUCUAGUGCGUCUUCAUCCUGUUAAUACACAAAAAUAAGUCAGUUUUGGAUAAAUAAAUACAUAUAGAAGAACAUGAAUUGAUAUGCAGAGAGUAAAACAUGAAUCUGUCAACUAACACGGCUAGGAGCUAGGCAGCUAGUAUCUAGCGCCUAACAAAAUGCCUGCGCACUUGACAGUUGCAGUCCGACCUAACAAAAUGCUAUGAUCUGUAAUCAGCCAAUACGGCAGUAAUCUUAUAGCCCUCAACCAAAGAAACUUGCAUACAUGGUAAGGCCAGAAAGGUAACAUCAUUCAACACUCGUCAAAUAGAGAUGAUGUGAACCAGAAUGGCCGACUGAAAAGCAUAUGCAUACGUAGACAACGACCAGCCUAGAAGGGCCAAUAUGCAGUGCCAAACGAACCCACUGGUAGAGAUCAUUUGUUGUGCAGAAACUACAGUACCAAGUCAGAAAUAAACAGUUGGUUAUGAUGCUACUGAAUAGCUAGCAUGCAUCAAAACAGUACUCUGGCGAGCUGCCUGGAGGCUGAAGCCGUGUGGUCCGUCUAUGGAGGACUGGAGGUGGAGCGAGCUGCCUGGCGUGGCGUCCGGCACUCUGGCGAGCAGCUAGCUGGGAGCCUGGCGAUGAGGCAAAGCCGCAAAGGACUGGCGAGCGGCGACCGGCGAUGGCAGUAUGGCACUAUGAAGGUGAAGCGAGCUGGGACUGGGAGAGGCAAAGUCGGCAAGCCGCACAGAGCAGGACUGCAGGAGGGCGAACGGCGGCGCGCCGGCGCCUGGGAGGCUGGGAGUGACGGGCUGAGUGGCUGACGGCAGG
rnacentral:lncRNA from 1 species